GCCAGUUUAGCUCAGUUGGUAGAGCACCCGAUUUGUAAUCGGACGGUCGUCGGUUCAAAUCCGACAACUGGCUCCA
rnacentral:tRNA from 1 species